AUACGGAGGGUGCGAGCGUUAAUCGGAAUUACUGGGCGUAAAGCGUACGUAGGCGGUUGGGUAAGUUAGAUGUGAAAGCCCCGGGCUUAACCUGGGAACUGCAUUUAAAACUGGCGAACUAGAGUUGAGUAGAGGGGAGUGGAAUUUCAGGUGUAGCGGUGAAAUGCGUAGAGAUCUGAAGGAACACCAGUGGCGAAGGCGACUCCCUGGACUCGAACUGACGCUGAGGUACGAAAGCGUGGGUAGCAAACGGGAUUAGAUACCCGGGUAGUCC
rnacentral:rRNA from 1 species